GACGAACGCUGGCGGCGUGCCUAAUACAUGCAAGUUGAGCGCUGAAGGUUGGUACUUGUACCAACUGGAUGAGCAGCGAACGGGUGAGUAACGCGUGGGGAAUCUGCCUUUGAGCGGGGGACAACAUUUGGAAACGAAUGCUAAUACCGCAUAAAAACUUUAAACACAAGUUUUAAGUUUGAAAGAUGCAAUUGCAUCACUCAAAGAUGAUCCCGCGUUGUAUUAGCUAGUUGGUGAGGUAAAGGCUCACCAGGGCGAUGAUACAUAGCCGACCUGAGAGGGUGAUCGGCCACAUUGGGACUGAGACACGGCCCAAACUCCUACGGGAGGCAGCAGUAGGGAAUCUUCGGCAAUAGACGAAAGUCUGACCGAGCAACGCCGCGUGAGUGAAGAAGGUUUUCGGAUCGUAAAACUCUGUUGGUAGAGAAGAACGUUGGUGAGAGUGGAAAGCUCAUCAAGUGACGGUAACUACCCAGAAAGGGACGGCUAACUACGUG
rnacentral:rRNA from 1 species